CAAUACUGAAUUAACAAAACACAGUCGACUGUGGUCGACAACACUGCCACCUAGCGGUGGGCUGAGAAGUGGAGGCAGACGACAAGUCUGCUACAUCCUCCUUCGUUUAUAAUAAUUGUUACAAGAAAUAAGGAAAACAAAAUAAAAAUAAUAUGGCAACCAUCUGGUAACAUGUGGACAUUAACAUAUGAUCACAAUGACUUGAGAGAAUCAUAAAACGAUUGGUAUCGAGCAUUUCUUUGGCUUUGGCUUUCUUGAGCUGCGACGAGGUUGUGGAGCGUCGGUUGCCUCUGGGCCAGCUUGUCUGAUUAGUUCUUGAGCCUCGGAGUCUUGUUGCUGAGCAUCUUGCACGUCUUGUGUUUCCUCUUCUGAACUGACUCCUAGAUUUGGCUGAUCUUCUGGCUUCUCCGGUGUCAAGAUGUGAGAGGCAUUUGUUGCGGCAUCAACGUUUCUUGAGGCAUCAUUUUAGGAACAGGUUCCAGAUAUGCUCUGUUUCUGGUAAUAUUAAAUCCUCUGUCUGUUUUCAAUCCAUAACUUCUGGUGCCUCUUGCCAGGUGGUAUCUCUGGCAUGAAGUUUGUCUUCACUGAUGGGAGCCUUGUUUUAAUUUGCCUGGAGAGAAAUAGCUGUGCUGGGCUGAAUCCUGAGUCGUUUGGGGUGGCCCUAUACUCCAGUAGGGCUUUUCCUGGGUCCUGUGGGUUGGCUU